rnacentral:misc_RNA from 1 species
AAGGAUCAUUACCGAGUACCGGGUCUUCGGGCCCUUACUCCCACCCUUUGUGUACCUACCUUUUUUCGUUGCCUCGGUGGGGUUGAUCCCAGCGGCCUAGCCGCGGGGGGACCCGCCGGGGGGACACCCCUAAACUCUUGUCAACAGUGACGUCUGAGAAAAAAACAAACUAGUCAAAACUUUCAACAACGGAUCUCUUGGUUCUG